rnacentral:misc_RNA from 1 species
UGAGGGAAUCAGAGCCAACAUGU